rnacentral:rRNA from 1 species
UACAGAGGUCCCAAGCGUUGUUCGGAUUCAUUGGGCGUAAAGGGUGCGUAGGUGGUGCUGUAAGUCAGGUGUGAAAUCCCGGGGCUCAACCCCGGAACUGCACUUGAUACUGCAGUGCUCGAGGACUGGAGAGGAGAUCGGAAUUCAUGGUGUAGCAGUGAAAUGCGUAGAUAUCAUGAGGAAGACCAGUGGCGAAGGCGGAUCUCUGGACAGUUCCUGACACUGAGGCACGAAGGCCAGGGGAGCAAACGGG